AUUGAACGCUGGCGGCAGGCCUAACACAUGCAAGUCGAGCGGAAGAAGGGUGCUUGCUCCUGGAUUCAGCGGCGGACGGGUGAGUAAUGCCUAGGAAUCUGCCUGGUAUUGUUUGAUAACGUCCUGAAACGGGCGCUUAUACCGCAUACGUCCUGAUUUUGAAAGUGUGUGAUCUUCGGACCUCACGCUAUCUUAUUUGCCUAGUUCGGAUUAGCUAGUUGGUUGGGUAAAGGCCUACCAAGGCGACGAUCCGUAACUGGUCUGAGAGGAUGAUCAGUCACACUGGAAGUGAGACACGGACAAGACUACUACGGGAGGCAGCAGUGGGGAAUAUUGGACAAAGGGCGAAAGCAUGAUCCAGCAAAGCCGAGUGUGUGAAGAAGGUCUUCGGAUUGUAAAGCAAUUUAAGUGGGGAGGAAGGGCAGUAAGUUAAUAAAUUGCUGGAGUGACGUUACCAACAGAAUAAGCACCGGCUAACUACGUG
rnacentral:rRNA from 1 species